rnacentral:rRNA from 11 species
GAAGAGUUUGAUCAUGGCUCAGAUUGAACGCUGGCGGCAUGCCUUACACAUGCAAGUCGAACGGCAGCGGGCCCUUCGGGGUGCCGGCGAGUGGCGAACGGGUGAGUAAUGCAUCGGAACGUACCCGGGAGAGGGGGAUAACCGGCCGAAAGGCUGGCUAAUACCGCAUGAACUCGGAAGAGCAAAGCGGGGGACCUUCGGGCCUCGCGCUCUCGGAGCGGCCGAUGUCCGAUUAGGCUAGUUGGUGGGGUAAAGGCCCACCAAGGCGACGAUCGGUAGCGGGUCUGAGAGGACGAUCCGCCACACUGGGACUGAGACACGGCCCAGACUCCUACGGGAGGCAGCAGUGGGGAAUCUUGGACAAUGGGCGCAAGCCUGAUCCAGCAAUGCCGCGUGGGUGAAGAAGGCCUUCGGGUUGUAAAGCCCUUUCGGCGGGGAAGAAAUCGGUCAGGCGAAUAGUCUGGCCGGAUGACGGUACCCGCAGAAGAAGCACCGGCUAACUACGUGCCAGCAGCCGCGGUAAUACGUAGGGUGCGAGCGUUGU